rnacentral:pre_miRNA from 1 species
UAUAUACUCCCUCCGUUCGGAAUUACUUGUCGCAGAAAUGGAUGUAUCUAGACGUAUUUUAGUUCUAAAUACAUCCAUUUCCAAGACAAGUAAUUCCGAACGGAGGGAGUACAUG